CCUACUCCAGUAAGACAAAGGUACUCCAUAGCACCUAACCCAGACAACUCUAUGGUUCGAAGCACUCAACACCGACCAAGGCUCUAUACUGACAAAAACAUCAUCAAACCACUCCUUGUGAUCCUUUAUAAUAUCAUCCAUAUUCUCACCUUCUCUUGGGGUAAUCAGAUGUAAUCUAUCCCCCAAUUUUCUCACACGAAUCAUAUUCAACCCCCCUUUC
rnacentral:lncRNA from 1 species